rnacentral:tRNA from 1 species
UCCUGGUUAGCUCAAUUGGUAGAGCAACCACCCCACAAAGGCCUUGGUCCCGGGUUCGAUCCCCGGACCAGGAU